rnacentral:misc_RNA from 1 species
GAUGAAGAACGCAGCGAAAUGCGAUACGUAAUGUGAAUUGCAGAAUUCAGUGAAUCAUCGAGUCUUUGAACGCACAUUGCGCCCCCUGGUAUUCCGGGGGGCAUGCCUGUCCGAGCGUCAUUUGUACCUUCAAGCUUUGCUUGGUGUUGGGUGUUUGUCUCGCCUUUGCGUGUAGACUCGCCUUAAAAUAAUUGGCAGCCGGCGUAUUGAUUUCGGAGCGCAGUACAUCUCGCGCUUUGCACUCAUAACGACAGCGUCCAAAAGUACAUUUUACACUCUUGACCUCGGAUCAGGUAGGGAUACCCGCUGAACUUAAGCAUAUCAAUAAGCGGAGGA